rnacentral:sRNA from 1 species
GCUGGGCACAGUGGUGCAUGCCUGUAAUCCUAGCAGCUCAGGAAGCUGAGACAGGAGGAUUCCAAGUCCAAAGCCAGCCUCAGCAACUUAGUGAAGCCUUAAGCAACUCAGUGAGACCUUGUCUCUA